rnacentral:tRNA from 1 species
GGCUGUGGCUCAGUGGUAGAGCACUCGCCUAGCACAUGCGAGGCCCUGGGUUCCAUCCUCAGCACCA